GACGAACGCUGGCGGCGUGCUUAACACAUGCAAGUCGAACGGAAAGGCCCUGCUUUUGUUGGGUGCUCGAGUGGCGAACGGGUGAGUAACACGUGAGUAACCUGCCCUUGACUUUGGGAUAACUUCAGGAAACUGGGGCUAAUACCGGAUAGGAUCUCUUGCUGCAUGGUGGGGGUUGGAAAGUUUCGGCGGUUGGGUAUGGACUCGCGGCUUAUCAGCUUGUUGGUGGGGUAGUGGCUUACCAAGGCUUUGACGGGUAGCCGGCCUGAGAGGGUGAACGGCAACAUUGGGACUGAGAUACGGCGCAGAAUCGUACGGGAGGCAGCAGUGGGGAAUAUUGCACAAUGGGGGGAAGCCUGAGGCAGCAACGCCGCGUGCGGGAUGACGGCCUUCGAGUUGUAAACCGAUUUCGCCUGUGACGAAGCGAGAGUGACGGUAAUGGGUAAAGAAGCACCGGCUAACUACGUG
rnacentral:rRNA from 1 species